UACGGGAGGCAGCAGUGGGGAAUAUUGCACAAUGGGCGAAAGCCUGAUGCAGCUAUGCCGCGUGUAUGAAGAAGGCCUUAGGGUUGUAAAGUACUUUCAUCGGGGAGGAAAAAAACAAAACUAAUAAUUUUAUUUCUUGACGUUACCCGAAAAAGAAGCACCGGCUAACUCCGUGCCAGCAGCCGCGGUAAUACGGAGGGUGCUAGCGUUAAUCAGAAUUACUGGGCGUAAAGAGCACGUAGGUGGUUUUUUUAAGUCAGAUGUGAAAUCCCUGGGCUUAACCUAGGAACUGCAUUUUGAAACUGAAAUACUAGAGUAUCGUAGAGGGAGGUAGAAUUCUAGGUGUAGCGGUGAAAUGCGUAGAUAUCUGGAGGAAUACCUGUGGCGAAAGCGGCCUCCUAAACGAAUACUGACACUGAGGUGCGAAAGCGUGGGGAGCAAACAGGGAUUAGAUACC
rnacentral:rRNA from 1 species